rnacentral:rRNA from 1 species
UGGGGAAUAUUGGGCAAUGGGGGCAACCCUGACCCAGCGACGCCGCGUGAGGGAAGACGGCCUUCGGGUCGUAAACCUCUGUCAGGAGGGAUGAAGGGCUGAUAGUCGAAUAGGCUAUUAGUUUGACGGUACCUCCAGAGGAAGCACCGGCUAACUCCGUG